rnacentral:tRNA from 1 species
GCCCUUGUAGCCCAAUUGGUAGAGGCGCUUGCCUUAGAAGCAAGUUAGUCGGCGUUCGAGUCGCCGCAAGGGUA